GGGGCUAUAGCACAGUUGGUAGCGCGCUACAUUCGCAUUGUAGAGGCCACGGGUUCGACUCCCGUUAGCUCCACCA
rnacentral:tRNA from 1 species